rnacentral:rRNA from 1 species
GUGGGGAAUAUUGGACAAUGGGCGAAAGCCUGAUCCAGCCAUGCCGCGUGUGUGAAGAAGGUCUUCGGAUUGUAAAGCACUUUAAGUUGGGAGGAAGGGCAGUAAGCUAAUACCUUGCUGUUUUGACGUUACCGACAGAAUAAGCACCGGCUAACUUCGUGCCAGCAGCCGCGGUAAUACGAAGGGUGCAAGCGUUAAUCGGAAUUACUGGGCGUAAAGCGAGCGUAGGUGGUUUUGUAAGUUGAAGGUGAAAUCCCCGGGCUCAACCUGGGAACUGCCUCCAAAACUGCAUGACUAGAGUACGGUAGAGGGUAGUGGAAUUUCCUGUGUAGCGGUGAAAUGCGUAGAUAUAGGAAGGAACACCAGUGGCGAAGGCGACUACCUGGACUGAUACUGACACUGAGGUGCGAAAGCGUGGGGAGCAAACAGGAUUAGAAACCCUAGUAGUCC